CAGCAGCCGCGGUAAUACGAAGGGGGCUAGCGCUGUUCGGAUUUACUGGGCGUAAAGGGUGCGUAGGCGGACUGAUAAGUCAGGGGUGAAAUCCCAAGGCUCAACCUUGGAACUGCCUUUGAUACUGUUAGUCUUGAGUUCGAGAGAGGUGAGUGGAACCGCGAGUGUAGAGGUGAAAUUCGUAGAUAUUCGCAAGAACACCAGUGGCGAAGGCGGCUCACUGGCUCGAAACUGACGCUGAGGCACGAAAGCGUGGGGAGCAAACAGGAUUAGAUACCCGCGUAGUCCCUGUCUCUUAUAC
rnacentral:rRNA from 1 species